UAAGAGCUCUCCUUAAGAAACGCAUUGUAUUGUUGUGUGUAGCCCUCUCCGCCUUCAGCGUCUCUUAACGCAGAGAGGGAUUCCUCCGUUUCUCCACAUGUGCUCCAGGUAAGGAAUGCAGAAUUCUGCUCUGUUAACAGAGCCCAACCCAGUCUCUGUGAGGUACUGCACCAGCGUAGAAGACAUAGACCCACAUCCAAGGUGUUGCUUGGAGCCUGGACUGGUUCCAAGCGCUGCUUACUAUCCCAUAUCAUCACCUAUCCAGCAGCCCAGACAGCAGGCCAAAACAAAGCCUGGUCUUUGAUGCGGUGCAAGUAUAUUUGUGUUUAUAUAGCCCUCUCAAGCAUUACCACCUCAUCAGAUAACUCCUUUACGGGCUAGUACUGUACAAAGCCUGGUCCGUCAAGGAGUUAUGUGGCAACUGAGCAUGGAGGUUGCUGGUAUUUUAUGGAUACUUGAUGUUCUUUCUGUGUUCUGAAAUAGCAAACAUUCCUGUUGUAUUUUACCACUUAAAUAUCAACAUGUUUGCAAAUGUGGAUAUGUGCAAAUGAAAAUGCUAAUACAGGUUAUUCUGUUACCAGACCAAUGUACUGUCCCAGUAAAAAUAAAAGAUAUUGGUGUA